rnacentral:lncRNA from 1 species
ACUGUACAAGAAGCAUAGUGUCAGGAACUGCUUCUGGAGAGGCCUCAGGAAGCCUUUACUCAUGGCAGAAGGCAAAGCCGGAGUGGAUGUGUCACAUGGCGAGAGAAGACGCAACAGAUGGGAGAGGUUUCAGACUCUUUAAUAAGCAGCUCUCCCGCAGCAGCAAGUCACGCAUGAGGGAACUGCUCCAUGACCCAGACACCUCCCACCAGUCCCUGCCUCCAACACUGGGGAUCACAUUUCAACAGGAGAUGUGGAGGCCACAAACUAACUAUCUCAGAGCAUUGGCUGUUACAGUCAAUAACUUUUAAACAGUUCUGCUGUCACCAAAUACCUUUCCCCCCACAAAAUCUCUGUCUUCUCUGAGGACACAUCCCUUUCCUUAGAUUUGGGGGCAUCACCUGACUGGGGUAAAAUGAUGCCCCACACAGGAGCUGGCAGUGACUCUCAGAUGCCUCUUAGCUCAAUGGUUUGUGACUUACCAUUGAUUUUUCUCUAUUCGUACAUCUCGGGUUAGCAUUUUCUUCUGUCUGGCUCUUUCUCCAGGUUACGAAGCCAUGUCCAUAGAAAAUAGGCCAAGAAUUCCAGAGGCAACCUCCCGCCCACACGCUGGGGUGGAGGCGGCCUGUUCCCUAGUGCUCCUGUCACUCAUCUGUGCCGGCACCUUUGGUUUUCACCAUAGGAUCCUCGGAUUCCUCAAGGCCCUUCACCUCCAGGAAAAGCUAAGACUCUCAAGAGGCCCUGCAUGUUUUUCUUCGGGAAGGCUGUGCAGUCUGCUCUGAGGAGACAGAUCAACCUAGCCCUUCUCCAGGACGAACUCCGAAAACCACAGGAAUUCACGUUCAAAGGAUGACGCAUCUCAGAAUCAGGUGGCCUUUAGUGAGCCAGUGGCUCGGAUUUAUGUGGUCAGAUUCUGAGCCGGCAGACACAAGGACAAGCCAGCGAGAGGUGUGGCAGGACUGGAGAUUCUGUGUAGGUCUGUAUGUGAUGGGCUUUAUGAAAUGCAUCUAUUUAAUGUACUCCAAGCCAAUUCUAAAUGAAGCAUGAUGCAGCCAAAUAUGAAAGGAGCUCAUUAUUGAUACAUUUUAUGGACCGAAUUGUGUUCUCUGGAAAAGGUAGUUGAAGUCCCUUAAUAUGUGACCUUAUUUGGAGGAAUAGGAUCUUAAAGAAGUAAUCAAGUUAAAAUCACGUCAUUCAAGUGGGCUCUAAUCCAAUAUAACUGAUGUCUUUAUUAGAAGGUUAAAUUUGAACAGAGACAGAUGUGCAUAGAGAGAAGGUUGUGUGAAGAGACACAGGAAGGAGACGGCCAUCUAUUUGGAACAGAGCUUCCCUUAUAGACCUCAGAAGGAACCAACUCUGAUACCUUGGUUUUGGGCUUCCAGACUCCAGAACUGUGAGACAAUAAAUUCCUGUUAUUUAAGGCUCACCAGUCUGCGGGGCUUUGCCAUGGCAUCCUAAGAAAGUGAGCGUGAAACUUAAUUCAUCAGUACGGAAAACAUCUUGGCAGUUUAACCACUAUUGUAAUACUCAUGUAUUGAUACGUGUUUCAGAAUUUUUCUGCUCUCUUCCUCAGUAUGUAUGUACAGCAAAAGCUUCAGAGAGAAACUCCAGGCCAUGCAAACUCAUGAACUAAACUCUGGGAGAGGUGCUGGUGAUGACCUGGAAGGGAAAGAUGAGUGUUUGGCACAGGACGGGACCGACCGAAAGUGGUUGUGUGGGAGGGUUUGAUGGGGUGGCUGCUGGUUGUUGUUGGGAGAGGAGGGGCAGGUGGGUUCUCUCCUCUGGCAAGGCCACGGGUGUGGUCUGGCUUGGAGCAGGAUCCAGAGCCAUUGAACUCUGAGGAACUAUGAAGCUCCUGCUGCAGGUAGGAAAGAAAGAGAAGGUGAGAAGAUAGGAGGAAGCUUCCCAAUGCCCUAGACAGGUUGCAGGUGAGGGCACAGACCCCUGUGCAGAUGUGCUGGAGCUGCAGUGCAGUGGGAUGCCCGGGAACAUGGGGGGCUCCUGACUUAGUGCUGAGAUGCCUGGAAGUCAAAGGCACGUGGAGAUGGCGAGCUGCACGAUGAGAAGUGUGAUCUCCUCCUUCCAAACUGCAGAGAGACCUGGAUUACCCUGUCCCUGAUCCUUACUGGCUGUGGAAUCCAGAAAAAUUCUCCUAACCUGCAGUCUCAGUUUUCUCAUCUCAAAAAUGGGGUUAAUAUUAGUGUAUGUAUCACAUUAUGUUGUGAAGAUUAAAUGAAAUAAUGAACAUCUGGAGCAUAGUAAAUGCUCAAUAAAUGUAGGCUGAAUAAAAAAGAGAUCCCCAGACCAGCAUUAUACAACUUCCAAGAUUCCUAUUGUAUAUUCCAGUAGGUAGAGUAGCUUUUUUUAAAUUAAUGGUACAGAUAAUAAGUUACUGUGCACAGAAAACACCCAACAGGCAGUGCCGGCAUGAGUUUAUGAUACUGUUCCUCUUUCUUCUGUGCAGACGUGAGUGGCCUCCAGGCCAUAGCAGUGUGACCUUGGUUUGUCUGCAGCAUCCAUCCAGGCACGUGGGAAAUGUUGUUUUCAGGGACACUGAAAUGUGGAAUUUAUUCAUCCCCUCAGCAAGAAUUUGCUGAGCCGCUGCCCUGUGCCAGGCAGUGCCACCUGCUCUCAGCUCACACCUGGCAUUCUGACAGAGGGAGGCAGACAGCAAUGGCCCAGAGUGUCAGAGGGGGUUAGUGCCGCAGACCAGGAGUGAGCGGCGUCGGGAGGGAGUGCAAGAUUCCAGCAGGCGGUAUGACAAAGCACAGCACACAAGAUGAAAUGGAUUGGGUGCACCUGCUCACAAUGGGGGACUAGGGAGUGUCUCAAAGUUAUAGUUUCAUUUUCAAGAAUGUUCUGAUACCUCUGUUACUGUACCUAGAUUUGUUUUGAGCCUACGUUUCUUUGAGGUAAUUGAGGGGUGUCUGAUGGAGAAUAUAUGAUGAAUAGGCACAGAAAGGAAUGCGCACCCACCACCAGACUCCCAGCACUGCCUGUGUAAAGGAGAGAUCAAUAGGCCAGGAGAACCAGAUCAAAGAAAAAGAAAAAUGGGAAAAGUUUAUUCAGCCACCUGUCUGCAUCUCCACUAUGGGCCUUGUCCUCAUGCCCAUGGCUUCACUUUCUUUUUAGUAACAACUCUACUGAGAGAUAAUUCACAUACCACACUCUUCACCCAUUUAAAGUGUAGACUUCAGUGGUUUUUAGUACAUUCCCAGAGUUGUGCAACCUUCCCCACAAUCAAUUUGAGAACAUUUAAACCACCCCUAAAAGAAACCCCGUCCCUAUAAGCAGUACCUCCCCACUUUCCCCAGGCCCCAGCGCCUGGCAACCACUAACCUACUUUCUGUCUGUAAGGAUUUGCCUUUUCUGCACAUUUCAUAUCAAUGCAGCCAUACCAUGUGGUCUUUUGUGGCUGGUUUCUUUCCCGUAAUGUCUUCCAGGUCCACCAUAUCAUAGCAUGUGUCACGCUACCUGAUAAUGUGUGAUUCUUCAUGCCUGAAUCAUAUUCCGUCAGCUGUGAUCUAUCACAAUGUGCCUACCCAGUGUCAGCUGGUGGAUUGCCGGCCUCAUUUAAUUUCCCACCUGUACGCCUCUGUAUGCCCAGCUCUGCUGCUCACUCAGCCCUCUGCGCUGUUCUUGGAUUCCCACACCCAGAAGCUGGCAGGAAGCAGUUGAGGAUGGAGAGGGAAGGAGGCAGGGGCUGGGGGUCGCAGACAGCACAGCAGUGAGAUCAUGUGUGUCCUGGGACUCUUCCUUCCUGGCCUCAGCUCUUUUUCCCUCACCAGUCCUAUACCUGAAAACCACCCGUCCUCCUCCUCCUCCCUGGCUGCCAGAGUUUUGGGAGCAAAUCCUGUAACCGUGCAGAUGCCCUCCCUGAGGUGUGUCCCUGCAGCCUGCCUUCAUUCUCCUUGUGGUCAGGGAGAGGUGGCUCCCAGCUCCUCCCAAGCCUUCACUGCAGUUCCAGAGCUUCCAUCUGGACCCUCCCCUCUCAUAGUUUCUGCCCACCCUCAGCCACACGGCACUAGAGCAUGAGCUUCUCGGGGGCAGGACCAGACCUUAUGCAUCUUGACACUCCAUGGUGCCUAACACGUGUUCUUACCAUGGGGGUGUGGUCCUGGGACACGCAGCCCGGCCUCCCUGAGAUCUGAAGGACUGAGGGCUUCAUGCCCCGCUGCUGUGAGUGCUGCCAGCACCAUCCCCUGCCUGCCCUCUCUCUAGACAUUGCCCUCUGCUGAAGGGACCCACCCUGACCAUGGUCCCUGGAGCAGCCUCAGUUGAGUGAUGUACUUGUGAUAAGAGGGCCCUGCCCCUCUCACCCCGAUUCCGCACAACCUUAAAGGGCUGCUCCCACUCCAGAGAUCUUCCUGUGGGGUGGCUGAGGCUUUUCUUUUGACCACGUGGAAGCCCAGCCUGUCCCUCUGCCCAUCUGCCGCUUUCCCUCCCCACAGGUGUUGGUCCUGAGAGCAUUCCCAAAUAAAUUUCCUGAACCAUCAUCACCAUAGCAAAGCAGCUUCCUGGGCAACCUCACCUACAACAGCCAUUUAAGAAUAGGAAUUUGAAAGACAUUGAGUGAAAACAAUUUAUAAUUCAGAAAGGAAAGCUUGCCUUAUAAAUAAAACUAUUCAUUAUUACUUAGCUAAAAUAGUCGUAGUUACUUUACAAAUGUUUACGGCUCCCCUGGCUUGGAGAUCAAUCUAAUCUUUUUUUUUUUUCUUAAUGUUCAGUCUCUUUAUGUCUAUGGAUAUGUAAAUAUUUAAUUAAAACAUCUUUGUAUAAAAUAAAUGGUGGUAUAAGGAAAUGGAAAAAAACCCUUACCUGCAGAGAAAAUUUGUGAAAUAUAUUUUUCACACAGAAGGGUAAAUAGAAUAUCCAUGUUCCAUUCAAAUAAAAGUGAAACAAAUGCCCAUCUAUCUUCCAAACAGCUGAAGAAAUAGAAUAUCCCCCACUAUAGAUAGAAGCUGUGUUGUGCCCAGUUAACUGCUAUCCUGAAUGGCCAGCUUGCUAGAGGAUAGAUCAGAUAGAUAGAUAGAUAGACAGACAGACAGACAGACAGACAGACAGACAGAUAGAUAGAUAGAUAUACAUACAUACAUACAUACACACAUACAUAUAUAGAUGAUGGAUUGGUAGAUGGUUGAUACAUGUUAGAUAGAUAGAUAGAUAUAUGGAUACAUACAUACAUACAUACAUACAUAGACAAAUUGGGUACAUAGAUACAUAGAUGAUUGACAGGUAGAUAGAUACAUACAUACAUACAUAGAUGGAUUGGCAGAUGGUUGAUACAUGUUAGAUACAUACAUACAUACAUACAUACAUACAUAGAAGAUGGAUUGGUAGAUGGUUGAUAUAUAUUAGAUGAUAGAUAGAUAGAUAGAUAGAUAGAUGAUGGAAGAUAUAUAGAUGGGAGAUAGGUGGAUAGAUAGAUGAUAGGUGAUGGGUAAAUAGAUAAGUAGAUGAUGCAUAAAUGAUCUAUGAUAAGUAGAUAAUAUAGAUGUCAAUACAUAAUCACAUACACACGUAGUGUAGGUUUUAGUGUUUUUUUCUUUCGUAUUUAACUGGAAUUUUAUACCAUAUUUUUUUCUGUGACUUGCUGUUUUACUCAAUGACAGCUGCGAUUCACCUAUGUUGAUGUGUGCCCUCAUGUUUCCUUCACCUCCACUGCUGUGUAGGACUCCCUGUGUGACUGCCCUGUAGCUUAUUUAGGCAUGGUAUGCACUGAGAUGUGGUCAGAGUUUGGGGCCACUGGGUUUCCUGCAAGCUCUGCUCCUGUGCACACGUGGACUCCCAAUUGUUACAGUGUGACUGUGGGUUACUGCUCAGGUCUGGCACACAGCACUAGUUUCUCCGGGUGUGUGUCUAGGAGUAGAGUCACUACGCAUAGAAUAUAGGCAUGUUCAAGUUUGGUAAGUCAUUCCAGACCUUUUCCAAGGGAUUCCACUGAUGUACGCCCUUCCACACAGCGGAUGAGAGCUGGUGUUCCUGCAUACCCUCACUAAUGCUUGGAUUUAAGAUGGGCCAAUUUGGUGGAGGUGAAGUGCAAUGUCACCAUGGUCUCCAUCUGCCCUGCCCCAGUGCCACUGAGGUGAAGCAUAUGAUUAUGGGCUAUUCAUCUUCCCUCCUCUGCUAAGUGACGGCUCAAGGCUCACACUUGUUUUUUUCUAUUGGGCUGUUUGCCGUUUUAUUAUAAUUUGUAGUUCUUUAUAUCUUCUCUGCAUACAUUCUUUAUUAGUUUUAUGUAAUACAAACAUAUCUCUUUCAGUUUUUGUCUUUUUUCCACCCUUUGUUGUGUUUUUUGAUCAAGAUACAUAAUUAAAUUGAUUACUUAAGUUAAAAUUAAACUCUUAAAUUUUAAUGUGGUCUAAUUUAUCAAGUGUUUUCUUUAAUAUUUGUACAUCCUUGUCUUGUAUAAUGAAUGUCUGUGUUCUAAAUUUGUAAAGAUAUUUUCUUACAUAAACUUCUAAACAUUUUAUGAAUUUGUCUUUUAUAGUCAUUUAUUCUAUCUGAAAUUGAUU